CAGACCUGAGGUCUGAAGCCUCAAUUUUGUUUUCCUGGUGCUUGGGUUGAUGUCAGGAUGAUUUAUAAACACUCAUCCCACUAUACCAUCGAACGGCAGCUUCUGAACGGCUGGCCUAGACUCAAAAGUGAAGACGGCCUAGUGCAGAACCAGCUUGAGUCCCAUGUUUGCCCAGCCUGGCGCACGAGCUGUCAUUUGUGCCUGGAGCCCAGCAUGCCAGCUCCUGCUCAGCCCCAACCCUCAGCCCUUGUUUCGGGACCGGAGCAACCAGCCAGCCUCAAGCCUUGUCCAGCUGUCCCUGUCCUCACCCCUGGGACCUGUCAGCGUGUUAGGCUCUGUGGCACUGAGGUUCUUCCAGCGUGGUCAGGCCUAGUGUGACCACAGGGUUCUCCGACACGGAGGAGGAGGCGGCAGCGCGGAGGUCAGAGUGAUGCAACAGCCAGAGAACUUGCCACGCUCCUACCGGCUUUGAAGGGGGACAGCUGCCUGCACAGGAGAGGGGGUCUUGAUCCCCCAAGAGCUUCCAGAAGGAGCACAGUCCUGACGCCUUGAUUUAGCCUCUCUGAGACUUGCACUAGACUUAUCUACAGAGCUGUGUGACAAUAUGUUUGUGAGUUUUUAAAUUUUUCUUUUGGUUUGUGAGACAGGUGCUUGCUAUGCAGUUUAGGCUGGCCUUACACUCACUGUGUAGCCCAGGCUGGCUCAAUCCUGUGGCAAUCCUCCUGCCUCAGCUUUCCGAGUUCUCAGAUUACCGGCACCCUCCACCAUGCAUUGCAAUCUGUGUUACUUCAAGCCAUUUAAUGUGCAGUAAUCUGUUACAGCAGCCAAAAGAAACUAGCAGAGAUAAUUGAUAUCUUCAUAAUAUUGAACUUUCCAAUCUGUGAGCAUGGUAUGACUCUGCAUUUAUAUAGAUGCUCUUUAAUUCCUCUCAGUAGUAUUUUAUAGCUUUCAGUCUAGCAGGCUUGCCCAUCUUUCAUUAAAAUUAUUCCUCCGUAUCUUACAUUUCUUGAUGCAUAGCAGAUCUGUUAUUUGAAGCAGAAACCUCCCAAACCAGAAGAAAUUAGAAGGCAGUGUUCACAAUCCUGGCACAUGGCUGGAGUGGACUCUGUGCUGGAAUGAGGAAGCCCCAGCACCACCGUCUUGGAGGCCCUGCACCGUGCUCUGGGGGCUCUUCCCGGUUCUGUCUAUGAGGAACCAAGAAAGACCUCUGGGGACCUGGAGGAGGAGGGGACCCCGCAGACUUUGCUGGUCAGAGAAGGCCGUGCUUCCCCCAAAGUGCUCCAGAAAACUUGGUGGAAAAGUUGCAGCCAGGGAAAGGAGAAGGAAGCAUCAGGG
rnacentral:lncRNA from 1 species